UUACCCAAAAAAAAAAAAAAAAAAAAAAAAAAAAAAAAAAUUCUAAUCGCUUCAUAGUACAGCCGUUCUAGAGAUUACCAAAAACCCUCACUCUCUCGUCCCUCACGGCCUGCCACCGAAGCCGGCUUCGUCAACCUCACCGACCACCCACUGGUUUUACGGCCUACGGUUAUUCUUAUAUUGGAGCGCCUUUUAAGGAGGUCAGAAUUCAGAGCAGAUACUGUAAUUGGGGCAAGGAUGUCUGAGGUUGGAUAUGCUCAUCUAAAGGAAGAAAUUGGUGAUGAUUUCAUAGCAACAUUGGCAGAGAUUGUUUGUUAUGAUGACAAACCUCUAUUUCUCUCUUUUAUGAAGGAGCUAUUUCAAAGAAGUUAGAAAGAAGGAAUCAUCUGAUUAUCAAGCUAAAUAUUGCCCACCAAAAAUUUUGCAUGGAAUUUGUCAGUUUGGCGUAAUAGAUUGUGCCAUCGCUUUUCUCGGAGGGGAGACCGGUUUCAUCGCUGAUCUCAAUAUUCCCUUUAACGAUGGAUUAUAUCCAUUGCAUUUAGCAGCUAAUGGUUUAUCAUAUGAAAUGAUUGCGACAUUGCUUAGCCAUGGAGCUCAGACUGAUGUCAGAACCAUAGUGAAAGUGAAAGUAUCAAAGAGGCAACGGAAGAAUUAGAAGAGAGUUUAACAUUGAGGUCUUAUUCAAAGGAUCUCUGGAUGCCACCUCCCUCACUGUCUAACAGUUUUUCCGAGGAAAAGAGUUCGGUCAUAUAUAAAACUUUUAGAACAUUCAUCGAAUAUGGGCCCCUUGUUUUUACGCCUUCGUCACGGUCAUACGUUACAUUCCCGCUCAUGGAUAAAAAGACACAUCGUGUUGCUAUAAGUGUUAACUUUUCGAGAACCCCUAGACCCCCAGCAAUGAUAAUAUCUGCGGCAUAUCUUCUAUCAAGAAAUCAGUUUGCCUCCUUGGCAUUAGCAAUCAAGAAGAGGUUAACUUGCAUAUGAUUGGCAAAUAAGAAGAGAGUUUAACAUUGAGGUCUUAUUCAAAGGAUCUCUGCAUGCCACCUCCCUCACUGUCUAACAGUUUUUCCAAGGAAAAGAGUUCAGACACAUGUAAAACUAUUAGAACAUUCAUCCAAUAUGGGCCCCUUGUUUUUAUGCCUUCAUCACGGUCAUACUUUACAUUCCCACUCAUGGAUAAAAAAAAGACACAUCCUAUUCCUAUAGGUGUUAAAUAUUCGAGAACUGGUAGACCCCCAGCAAUGAGAGUAUCUGCGGCAUAUCUUCUAUCAAGAAAUCAGUUUGCCUCCUUGGCAUUAGCAAUCAAGAAGAGUAUAACUUGCAUAUGAUUGGCAAAUAAGUCAAUGGCCUCAUGAUUGCACUGGGGGUUGACUUGGCCACUGUUUGAAUUGUAAAUGGAAGCUGUUAUAAGGGCACUAAAGGCCGUGCAUUUUCUUAAGAAGCAAAGCUGGGAGGCUUAUGCAAGUGACAAAUAAAAUACAGAAGAUCCUUCUUCUACUCAUGAUGCCGUGUUUUAUAGUUGUUAUUUUAUUAUUUAUUUGAGUUCUAAUUUCUCAACUUUGGCUGAGAGGAAGCCUUAGUAAGUUAGUCUUGUAACUCUAUGUUUUCAAUUGUUAAAUUUGUUUGAUGUUCAUACUAACUCAAUAAAAUAUUUAAACAAUUUUAAAUGCAUGUUCCAGUUUGUUAA